GCCCGCCUAGCUCAAUCGGAUAGAGCGUCAGACUCUUACUUUGGUACAGAGAAUGCACGGGUGACUUCACAGGUUGUUUCUACCCCUGUGAUCUGAAGGCUGCGAGUUCGACCCUCGCGGUGGGCU